rnacentral:rRNA from 1 species
UUCCCCUAGUACGGCGAGUGAAGCGGGAAAAGCUCAAAUUUAAAAUCUGGCAGUCGUUCAGCUGUCCGAAUUGUAAUCUAGAGAAGCGUCUUCCGUGCUGGACUGUGUACAAGUUUCCUGGAUACGGAACAUCAUAGAGGGUGAGAAUCCCGUCCUUGACACAGAUUCCCCAGUGCUUUGUGAUGCGCUCUCAACGAGUCGAGUUGUUUGGGAUUGCAGCUCAAAAUGGGAGGUAAAUUCCUUCUAAAGCUAAAUAUUGGCGAGAGACCGAUAGCGAACAAGUACCGUGAGGGAAAGAUGAAAAGCACUUUGGAAAGAGAGUUAAACAGUACGUGAAAUUGUCAAAAGGGAAACGCUUGAAGUCAGUCAUGUUUGCUUGGAUUCAGCCGUGCUUCGGUAUGGUGCAUUUCCCUGCAGACAGGCCAGCGUCCAUGUUGCUUGUCGGAAAAGGUGUGAAGGAAUGUGGCUCCUUUCGGAGUGUUAUAGCCUUUGCUCGCAUGCGAGGAUCAAUAUGGAGUGGUACAGCACGCUUCGGUGGUGCUUGUGCUGGCAUAAUGGCUUUAAACGACCCGUCUUGAAACACGGACCAAGGAGUCUAACAUGUCUGCGAGUGUUUGGGUGGAAAACCCGAGCGCGCAAUGAAAGUGAUAACUGGGAAACCCCUUCUUGGGGGGGAGGCACCGGUGCCCCGAGCUGACCUUCUGUGACGCAUCGGAGGCAGAGCAUAUAUGUUGGGACCCGAAAGAUGGUGAACUAUGCCUGAAUAGGGCGAAGCCAGAGGAAACU